rnacentral:rRNA from 1 species
UACGGAGGGUGCGAGCGUUGUCCGGAAUCACUGGGCGUAAAGGGCGCGUAGGCGGCCUGGCAAGUGGAAGGUGAAAUCCCUCGGCUUAACCGAGGAACUGCCCUCCAAACUGCUUGGCUUGAGUCCGGGAGAGGUGAGUGGAAUUCCCAGUGUAGCGGUGAAAUGCGUAGAUAUUGGGAGGAACACCAGUGGCGAAGGCGGCUCACUGGACCGGAACUGACGCUGAGGCGCGAAAGCGUGGGGAGCAAACGGG